GAUUAACGCUGGCGGCGUGCAUAACACAUGCAAGUCGAACGAAGUUGCGGACGGGUGAGUAACGCGUGAGUAACCUGCCUUAGAGAAGGGGAUAGCCUUUGGAAAAGAAGAAUAAUACCCUAUGCUCUCAGAUGGGGUUGCGUCGGAUUAGUUAGUUGGUGGGGUAACGGCCCACCAAGACAGCGAUCAGUAGCCGGCGUGGGAGAGGGUCCCGCCACAUUGGGACUGAGGCACGGGCCAGACUCUACGGGGGGCAGCAGUGUGGAAGUUUGCACACUGGGGGACACCCUCAGGCAGCGACGCCGCGUGAUUUAGAAGGCCUUCGGGUAGUAAAAAUCUUUUCUAUGGGAAGCAGUACCAUAGGAAUAAGGACCGGCUAAUUACGUGCCAGCAGCCGCGGUAAUUC
rnacentral:rRNA from 1 species